rnacentral:tRNA from 1 species
GCGUCUGUAGCCUAGUUGGUAAAAGGCAGCACUCUAGUAAGCUGAGGUCGUGAGUUCGACUCUCACCAGACACA